UCAGAGGGGGGUAGAAUUNCACGUGUAGCAGUGAAAUGCGUAGAGAUGUGGAGGAAUACCGAUGGCGAAGGCAGCCCCCUGGGAUAAUACUGACGUUCAUGCUNGAAAGCGUGGGUAGCAAACAGGAUUAGAUACCCUGGUAGUCCACGCCCUAAACGAUGUCAAUUAGCUGUUGGGGCACUUGAUGCCUUAGUAGCGAAGCUAACGCGUGAAAUUGACCGCCUGGGGAGUACGGUCGCAAGAUUAAAACUCAAAGGAAUUGACGGGGACCCGCACAAGCGGUGGAUGAUGUGGAUUAACUCGAUGCAACGCGAAGAACCUUACCUGGUCUUGACAUGUACGGAAUCUUCCAGAGACGGAAGAGUGCCUUCGGGAGCCGUAACACAGGUGCUGCAUGGCUGUCGUCAGCUCGUGUCGUGAGAUGUUGGGUUAAGUCCCGCAACGAGCGCAACCCUUGUCAUUAGUUGCCACCAUUUAGUUGGGCACUCUAAUGAGACUGCCGGUGACAAACCGGAGGAAGGUGGGGAUGACGUCAAGUCCUCAUGGCCCUUAUGACCAGGGCUUCACACGUCAUACAAUGGUCUGUACAGAGGGUAGCCAAGCCGCGAGGUGGAGCCAAUCUCAGAAAACCGAUCGUAGUCCGGAUUGCACUCUGCAACUCGAGUGCAUGAAGUCGGAAUCGCUAGUAAUCGCAGGUCAGCAUACUGCGGUGAAUACGUUCCCGGGUCUUGUACACACCGCCCGUCACACCAUGGGAGUGGGGGAUACCAGAAGUAGGU
rnacentral:rRNA from 1 species